CAGGUGUCUCGUCCACGACCGGGCCAGGGUGGUGGCCCACAACAUCUCCUUCCCAUGGAACGGAUGCCGGUUUGGCCCUGAGGCUGGUGAAUGGAGGUGACCGGUGUCAGGGCCGGGUGGAGGUCCUGUACCGAGGUUCCUGGGGCACCGUGUGUGACGACGGCUGGGACACUAAUGACGCUAACGUGGUCUGCAGGCAGCUGGGCUGUGGCUGGGCCAGGUCGGCCCCAGGAAAUGCCCGGUUUGGCCAGGGCUCAGGGG